rnacentral:SRP_RNA from 1 species
GCUGGGCGUGGUGGCGCCUGCCUGUAAUCCCAGCUACUUGGGAGGCUGAGGCAGGAGAAUCACUUGAAUCCGGGAGACGGAGGUUGCAGUGAGCUGAGAUUGUGCCACUGCACUCCAGCCUGGGCAAUAGAGCGAGAUUCUGUCUCAA